UGCCAGGCUUCCAAGACAGAGGAGAGCUGGGUUUAUGUCCCAGUUCUGCCAUUCUUAACUGUAUAAUUUGGGCAUGUUACUUAACCUCUUAGAUAACCACUUUACCAUAGAUGGCCAUUCUCUUAUUUAGGAAAUUCAGAUAGUAAUGGCACUAACGCAAAAGGGUGCUGCGGAGAUACGACAAUGGGAUGACACAUGUAAAGUACCCAACACAGGGCCAUCAGAGAUUUCAAUGCACUGUCAAUCUACAAGAAGGGUAUAUGAUAUGCAGUUGUUUCACAAACACUGUAACAAAUGAUUUUGAAGAGGACAUCUUAGGAUACUCUGAGUUACUCCAACUUGGACAUUUCACAGGUAGGAGAACUAUUGAAUGGUUCUGCAAGGUAAAGACACUUAUUCAAGAAUAUUUCAAUAACUGUACUUAGUACAAAGCCAGGACUGAAUUUAGGUAGUCUGGUUCCCAGUCCAGAAGAGUGUACCUGUUUUCUGUAUGCCAUAUUGCAGGCCCCUACUUGCCAAUGAGAGAGUUUCUGCAAUAGCAACAUCAUCCCUUCUGUUUCAUGAAGUCCUACUGGUUGGAUUAAUAAAUAAUGGCAUUUUCAGGGCAGUGGGUUGCACCCACUAAGAUAUUUUUGAUUUCUAGUACAAAAUGACUUUCCUAGAAAUAUAAUUUCCCAGAAGAAGGGUACACAAGAAAUGUGUGGCUUAAAAUUCACCUUUUAGUCAUUGUAUAAAAGUUGAAGGAUAACUGCUCAGUUAUUACACGGGAGCAGCUGGUGGAAAAACCACAGGCCCAGUGAUGAUGAUAGAUACUGGACAUAGAGGAAUGAGAUCCAUUUUCCUAAUAGGUCAGCAACUUUAUGUUCUAUCUGUGGGUGCCUGUCCUGAAGCCUGUGCUCCCACUGAAUUCCCGAAUUCUGCCCAUCUAAUCCCAAUCACAUUUUCACACUGGACCGACUAAGUCUUUUCCAGCAAUUUCAUUCCUUUUCCCCUGCCCUCUGCAUUCCUUUGUGAUCUCAUUUGGUCUAAAUAUCAUGUGAUGGAAUUGGAAGAGCCAAGUAGGCUAGACUUAAAUUCUGGCUCUGCCUACACUUGACCACCUAGAAAACCUCAUAGAGUUCCUGUAAAGAUUUAAAUACACCUACCACACAUUUAUAUAUAGUAUUUAACAUAGUGUCUAGCACAAAAGUGUUAAAGAAAUAAUUCUCUUUCUCUCUAAUUGUUGUUUAUAUAGUAGACCAAUUUGCCCAAUUAGAUAAAAGCUAAGGGCAGAGGGCAUGGUGUGUGUGUGUGUGUGUGUGUGUGUGUGUGUGUGUGUGUGUAUCCUCACAAUGCUAGAAACAUUCUUUCAUUCAAAAACAAUCUGUUAAAUGCCUCACAGUAGCAGAACAUCUCACAGUAGGUGUUUGCAAUUUAUUUUAUGAUAAAGCUUAUAUGAGAGUAAAUAAAAUACUGUAUGCAAAUUUCUGAAAACAGUGCCUAAACAACUAGUAAGUGCUAUUAUGAUCACUAGAAAGUACACAAAUUUAUUUUAGUGCUGUGAUAAUACUUGGGAUGAGCUAUUUAUCCCAUCUUGACUCCGUCUCAUGGGGUAAUGAUUUUUGCACAGGAACGGUUAAUCCAGUUGAAAAUCAUCACCUCCUAGAAAUGGAAACAGAGACAUAAACAGGAAGGAGCCAUCUAAUUCUUAAGUUUCGGGUGACUCGUUGAAAGCCUGGAGUAAUCAGGGAUGACAAAGCUCAGCAUUCUCAACCUCAGAAGGGUGGCACAAGAAUGAGUCAUAUCUAAGCAGAUCCCAAGCUAUAAUAUUUUCUUGACUUAGCCAAGUCAUGUUUUCUUUGCAAAGGCUUCAUGGACUUAAAACUAAACUGUUUAUAAAAGCCCCUUUUUAGUCUAUGUUUAAGGCUACUGUUUUACAGAAAUAGCAAUAGAAUAAAAAAGUUGGAGAAAGAAUUGGAAGAUUGGGAACCUGGUUUUGCCUCUACCAUGUACUCAUGGGAAGAUGUUGGCCUUUCUCUAUCUUCGUUUUCCCAACUAUAAAAUGUUAUUUUAUCCAAAGAACAUUAAGUAUUUUAUAUGUGCUAAGUAUUUACUGUUUUAGGUGGUGGGGUGCUGGACAUAAAAAAGGUAAGUAAGGCAGAGUCUAGUAGGAAAGAAAAUUAAUUUGAUAAUUGUAAUUCAGCAACUAGUGCUAAAGGCGUAGAUUGCAACAGAGGACUUAAUCCCAAGAAGAAAGAGUUCAGGGGAAACCUCCUUCAGGACCUGGAGCACAGUCUGUCUGGGUAGGCUGUCAUAAGUAUAGUGAAGAUGGCAGCUGCAUGCAGAGUGAGUUGCAUUACAAGGUAUAGAGACCUGAGACCACCUUGACAAAUGUAGAAACUGCAAGGAAUUCAGUCCAGCUAGAUAUGGCUAGAUAAGGAUCAUACAAAGCAAUAGAUUUGAGAAUGUCAAAAACUGAAGAAUUGAAGAGAAGCAGUAAAAGCUAGAUUAGAGAGUAUUUUGUGUAUCCUGCUACAGGAAAUGAGGGACUCUUUCUCUCCAUAUGCAUAUAUAUGUAAAUAAGGCGUAUGAUCUUAUAUAUGUAAAUAAGGUGUCUGUAAGGACACAGACAGGUAAGCAUUUUCAAGGAUCAUUCUGACUGCAGUAUGAUUGGCUUGGCAGGUGGCAGAGAACAAAAGCAAGAAAAACUAUUAGGAUGCUGUUGCAAGAGGACGCAAGUAAUGAUGAGUGUCCGAGCUAAGGUAGUAGCCAUGGGGAUGAGUAUUUGAGAGCUUUUAAGGAGGCAGAGUCAACAGAGUUAAGUGAAUUAUUGAAUGAGGAUAGGAAGAGAAAGGGAAGUAUCAGGGAUGAUGUUGAGGAUUUGGGCUAAGGUAAUGGAUGGAAAGUGUUGUCAUCCCUCCAGACAAAGUGAUAUAGAAACUUGGCUGGGAGAAAUUUGCAAAGGGUGAGCAUGAGGUACCUAGGGGCAUACAAAUUAAGAAGUCCAGUAACAGUGGGAUGGAUAUCAGGAGCUCAGGAGAGAGAUUUGGGCUGCAACUACCAAAUUAGGUCGAAAUUAAAGCUAAUGGAAAUCAUUCAGUGAACUGAGAUUGCCCUUAGAGAUUAAAGUAAGGAAAAAAGCUGAAGGUAAAACCCAAGAGAAUAACAACAUUUUAGAGGAAGAGGGAAGAGUCAUCCAAAGAACUAUGGAUGAGAGUGGGCAGACACAUGAAGACAACCAGAGGAAAAUGUCACAGAAUGCAGGGGAGGAGGAAGAUUCAUAAUGUGAUAAUGGUCAGUGGUGACAGAUGAUACAGGAGUCCAAGAAGCUUGAAAAAUGUCCAAUAGAUAAUUCUAUCUCUCAUCCCCUCCCAGGUUGUCAUGAGUUCAGAAAAGAUCAUGGAAGGAAAAGGCUUUGUAAAAUCGCAUUCACAUCUGUGAUUCAUUAUUAUUUCUUGUCUGUUGACCUAUCCACAGUGCUGCGCUAUCAGAGGACUUAAGAUGUUUAAGCCGAAGCCCUACUUCCAUAAUCAUUUACUUUCCUGUUUCUUCGAUUUAUUAAUGAGAAAUCAAAUCAGAAAGAGUUAAAUUACUUAUCACUGUCUCAAAGGAAUAAUGUUGGUUUUCACAACAUCCCAGUUUCAGGUAUACCAUCAGAGUCAUUCAGAGAUCUGAAGUACAGAUUUUUCCUUCUUUGGGUGGUAGUAUUCCUGAAAUAUCAUUAAUAAAUUCAUUUAAAAAAUCUGUUUUAAGUACAGAAAAGUAGGUUGCUAUUGAAAGCUUUAUGCUGUUUUUUUUAAUUCUGAAUUUGAUUCGUUUAACAAUGAAAUACAUCUAAAUUCUUAAGACAGUCUCUGAAGGCCAUUAUAAAUCACAGUGCUAUUUCUUUCUGACAAUUAUGUCAGUAAGCUCAUGUCAGGAGGCAUAUGACAGGCAGAAUGGCACAGAAAAAUGGAAACAGUACAGAUCAAGUAUCAGAAUAAAAAUCUUAAUAAUAGCAGCCAUCUUAUUGAAUUUUUUGCUAUAUGUCAAGUCCUUUACAUAUAUUAUAUCCUUUUUUCUCUUCAACAUUUUAAUCCUCAUUUUACAGAUGAGGAAAUUGCAGAUCAGAGUGGUGAAGAGACUUUAGGUUAUACAAAAGCCUCUGGCUAAGAAGCUGAUCUGGGAUGCAAACCCAGGACUGUUAUGUAAUGAUUGUUCCAGGAUAUGAUGCCAAUGUAGGAGGCAGAGAGAGUCAAACCCAGGGAUAGUUUCUCUUAUCCUUGUAAGUCAGGCAGUGAAGAGGAGAGAAAGGGGAUUUUGAGUUAAUAGAGGACAUGUCACACAACAAAGAUGAAAACACUGCCUAGACAGGGGGCUGGUUAACAAAGCAGGGUAUUAGGAAGAUCUCUGCCAUGGCAGGGGCCAUGUGGAGAGACUCAGCAAGCCAGUCAGAAAAAUUCAUCCCAUCUGAAAAAUUCUUCAAGCUGCAGCAGAACUGGGACAUCCGUUUAAACAGGACAGCUCCAUGGGACUAGCUUCAUGAGGACAUGUUGAAUGAGAGUCAGACUUUCCAUCACACUCCCCCAUGAAAAGAGAGAAUGAGCUAAGCUUAUCUGCCUUGUCUGUAAAAAAGAAGUUAAACCUAUGGCUGGUCACUUCAUGCACUUAGCAGUGUCUGGGACAUGGUAUCUACUUCAUAUCCAGUUGUUACUAUUAUUCUAAAUAUCUAUCACUAUCAAGCACACUAGUUAUGGGUCCCAUCAGUCUAGCACCUUAAACAUGUACCCCCUCAAACUCAUAUGCCGAUUACAAGAGUCUACUGGGGGGCAUCAAAACUCUGCAACCAAAGUUCACAGGUAAAACUCUGAGACCUGUGAUGUGUAUUAACGUACAGAAUAUUAUUAACGUACAGAAUAGAGAUGAAAAUUCUUCUUAGUUCCCAGGAUCCAUGUGAUGAAUUUAAAGAAAUAAUGUAAGCACCCUGUAAACUGCAAAUGACUAUCCAAAUGUGAAGGAAUAUCAUUACUAUUACUACUAUUACUGGUUAUGGCUAUUUUUAGAAUACUCAGGAAAACACAUAUUCUCAUCAAAACACUUUUCUUAAUAGUUUAGAUCAAUUUCCUUUAUCAUUUUAUUCUGAAGCACUUCAGAAUAAAAGUAAAGGAAGGUAAAUAAAAGUAAAAUUAAAGUAAGGAAAAAAGCUGAAUGUAAAACCCAAGAGAAUAACAACAUUUUAGAUGAAGAGGGAAGAGUCAUCCAAAGAACUAUGGAUGAGAGUGGGCAGAUACAUGAAGACAACCAGAGGAAAAUGUCACAGAAUGCAGGGGAGGAGGAAGAUUCAUAAUGUGAUAAUGGUCAGUGGUGACAGAUGAUACAGGAGUCCAAGAAGCUUGAAAAGAAUAAAAUCUGAAGAACUUCAGGUAAAUAGUAAAGGAGGAAAAGGGUAUAGGGAUCUAUGCUCAGGUUAAAUGACAGAUGAGUUACUAUAGUUAUUUAUUUAUUUAUUGAAAUGGAGUUUUGCUCUUGUUGCCCAGGCUGGAGUGCAGUGGCCCAAUCUCAGCUCACUACAACUUCCAACUCCUGGGUUCAAGCAAUUCUUCUGUCUCAGCCUCCCAAGUAGCCGGGAUUACAGGCAUGCACCACCACGCCCGGCUAAUUUUGUAUUUUUAGUAGAGACAGGGUUUCACCAUGUUGGUCAGGGUGGUCUUGAACUCCUGACUUCAGGUGAUCCACCCACCUUGGCCUCCCAAAGUGCUGGGCUUAUAGGCGUGAGCCACCAAACCUGGCUAUUUACUAUAUUUAAAUAAAUAUGGGUUUUUUUCUUUUUGAAAUACAUUUGUUUUGUUUAUUCAAGUACUUUAACUCAAGCAAUUUAACAAAUGUUUAUUAAAUCAAGAUACCAUGCAAGAGGCCAAAGAAUAAUAUAUUAAGAACACUGGAAGUUAAAAAUUAAAAAAAAAAUCUGGCCUGAAUUCUACCUCCUCCACUUAUGAACUUUCAAAUCUUUUUUUUCUAGCAAACGUUGUCCAUCGCUGUUAAGAUGACCUUGAACACUUUACAUGACUUUCUGAGCCUCUUUUUCCUCAUUAAAAGAGAGAUUGCAUCACCCACUCUGCUUACUCACAAGGAAUUUGUAAGGAUUAAAUUAAAUAAUGACUAUGCAAAUAAAAGUACUGUUAUUCGAGCGAGACUCCGUCUCAAAAAAAAAAAAAAAAAAGUACUGUUAUUCAGCAGAAGAGAGGCAUGUGCAUUAAUAAGCACGAUGAUAGUUUGUUAUAUAUAGUGAGAAAUAUUACUGAUGAGCGGACUGAAACUGUUCAUUGCAUAUUCUCUCUGUAGGAAAUUCUAAAUGGAAAGCUGAUUAUAGUCAGAAAGAUGCCAGAGAUUGGUAUGGGAUCAAAGGUGAAUUUUAAUGGCUAAUGUCAACAUCAUUGUCUGAUGUGUUGAUCUUAAUAUAUUCAUAUUUCAUGUUUAUCUUUUAUUGAUAUCAAGCACUCAUUUAAAAAAUCAUAUUUCUAAAGUAUAUAUAAUAAUAUGGAGAAAUGAUCACAAUAUAAUGCUAAGUAAAAGAAGACAGAACUCUCUGUAUGGUGUGAUUCUAAUUUUGUUUUACAUAUUAUAUAUAAAGAUACAAAGCAUAUAUACUAAAAGAAUAAUGUUUCCUUUGCAGUGGUGGAAUUAUGAGUGGGUUAUCUUUGGCUUUAUAUUUUUCUGUAUCCUCCUAAUUUUAUAUAGUAAACAUUUUUUAAUGUUAAAAAUAUUUAAAAUAAAGAAUCUUAGAACCUUCA